rnacentral:lncRNA from 1 species
AGGUUUUGUCCCAAUGGGUUUUCCUUGGUGAGGUUUUUAAUGAGGAGGAUCUCAUAGCCAUCCAAGCUUAGGCUUUCACAAAGCUAAGCUUGAGGGGGAGUGUUGAUCAGAGUUAAGUAUAUGAGAAGAGGAGCUAAGGGAGUUAAGGCAUUAGAGGAAGAGAUGAAGUAUGGAAGAAGAGAUGAGUUUGGGUUGAGUGAUCCGUACAAGGCCGUACAAGCCGUACCAUCCGUACAUAGGACAUCAACCAAACUCACCAAGGUAAAGAUAAGUUACCAAGGUAACUUAGUGGAGAGGAGGAUAAGCUUUGGAGUGGAUAAGACCGCGGAGGGAGAAGGGAUGAGGCGCGGACUGACAGUCUGGCAUGGACUGGAAAGUAAACAGCAUCUAUGGGAAGAUGCUAGAUGCCUCACACACUUGGAGAAGCUCAUUGGCCGGAUUCAAAUAUAGGCUCCUCCUCCUUUUGACUUCACAUGCUUUCCUUAUCCUUUAUGAUCGAAACCCUAAGCUCACCUUAUUAUAUAUUGUAACUCAAGACCAUUAAUAAAGAUUAGACAGUUCUAAACAAUCUCUCUCUAUACUCAUUUCAUUAUCAUUCUCCAUUAGUCUCUAAUCUGUCUCUUAAUCUCUUAUUCUCUUCUAUAAUCCUUUCUAAACUCAGAUAAUCAUUUACAUCCUUAAAUCUCAUACUCUAUACUCAUUUCAUUAUGAUUCUCCAUUAGUCUCUAAUCUGUCUCUUAAUCUCUUAUUCUCUUCUAUAAUCCUUUCUAAACUCAGAUAAUCAUUUACAUCCUUAAAUCUCAUACUCUAUACUCAUUUCAUUAUGAUUCUCCAUUAGUCUCUAAUCUGUCUCUUAAUCUCUUAUUCUCUUCUAUAAUCCUUUCUAAACUCAGAUAAUCAUUUACAUCCUUAAAUCUCAUAUGGUAUCAGAGCCAGGUUGAUUAAAAUCUGAGUUCGUGAGUGACUCUCUUAAAGGAUUCAAGUUUGAAACUUUAAGAGAACAAGUGAGUGUGUUUGAGAGUUUCUUGAGAGUUCAAAAGCUCAAGGUACUUUGCGUGUGUCUUGGUGAUCCGUGGGAGGUUCAUUUGAAGACUCAAGGGUAAAUCUGUGUUCUAGAGGGCAGUGUGGGUUCUCAGUACAAGAUCUAGUCGUUUGUUCAAGCUGUAGACGUCAAGCUGUUCAAGAUGGAAAGUGUUAUGAAGAUGAAGGUCGCGGUGACAUUCAAAGGAAGCAACUACCUAGUCUGGUCUAGGAUGGUGAAGACUGCUGUGGGAAGCAAGGGUUUGUGGAAGCAUAUCACAGCUGGUGAAGCUCCAAGGGUGAUUACUCAAGAGGGUGACGCAGAGAGCUCCGAGGAGAGUGUUGUGGAGAAGUGGCAACAAGAAGACAUGAUGGUGAUGUUAGUCCUUCAUGCCUCUUUGGAACCGGCUAUCCUAGAUGCUUAUAGCUACUGUGAGACAGCCAAGGAGCUGUGGGACACUCUGAAGAAGGUGUAUGGAAAUGUUUCUAACCUGAACCGAGUGUUUGAAGUCAAGAAGGCAAUCAACGAGUUAACCCAAGAUGACAUGGAGUUUACAAAGCAUUUGGGGAGGUUCAGGACACUGCGGUCUGAGCUGGAGAUGUUGAGGCCAAGCACAGUUGAUCCAGAGCUUCUAAAUGAGAGGCGUGAGCAGGACAAGGUCUUUGGGUUGCUGCUCACAUUGAACGCAAGCUACAAUGGUCUCAUUCAGCACAUGCUAAGGUCCGAGAAGUUACCUGACCUUGAGGAAGUGUGUGCUCAGAUACAAAGGGAGCAGGGCUCAAUGGGCUUGUUUGGAGGCAAGGGAGACUUAUCUCUUGCAAAUGCUGUGCAGUCUGACCGUGAAGAACCUCCUCAAGCCAACAAAGCUGGCUACAACAAGUAUGAGAAGUUCAAUGGGAAUUGUGAUCAUUGCAAGAGGUAUGGGCACAAGAAGAUUCAGUGCUGGAUACUCCAUCCCCACUUGAAGCCGGCUAAGUUCAUAAAGGAGAAAGAGGCAAGAGCUCACAUGACUGAAGGAUCAAGUGGAGCAGGGCCAUCCAACCGAGGAACUGAAGUGGAGAACCGUGAAGGAAAUGGAAAAGCUUUGGUGACCUAUACUGGAGCCAUCAACCCCCGAGGCAAUGAUCAAGACUUCAUCAGGAUGUCCGAGAUGGAUGCACUCAUCAAAAUGCUCAAGGAUAAUGGUAACAUUCAUGGGUAUUCAUUCGGUGCUUCUAUGAUUGCUAGGACUAUAGAAAUGACUCACAGUAAGGCUGAGAUUGCUAGGAAAGAUAGUAAGGCUGGAAUUGAGCAGUGCAUUGAUAGAAAUGCUAAGAUGAAUGCAUAUAGAUCAAAAUGUAUCUGCCAUCAUGCUAGCAAUGCAUCCAAACCAUUGAUUAUAGAUUCAGGUGCAUCUCAUCAUAUGAUUAGUGACACCAACCUGAUUAAAGACAUAGAACCUACUAAUGGAUGUGUGAUGAUUGCAAAUGGAGAUAAGAUACCUAUUAAGGGAAUAGGAAACUUAAAGCUAUUUGAUAAGACUACUAGAGCAUUUUAUAUUCCUGAAUUCACAUCAAAUCUACUUUCAGUUAAGAAAUGCACUACUGAUUUGAAUUGCAAUGUUAUAUUCAGUCCUAAUGAUGUGAAGUUUCAGGAUAUUGAAAGCAGCCAAUUGAUUGGAAAAGGAGUUACAAAGGGAGAGUUAUAUAUGCUUGAGAAGCUUGAUCCUGUUUCCAAUCAUAACUGCUCAUUUACUUCUGCUUCUAGUUUGAAUAAAAAUGCAUUGUGGCAUGCUAGACUAGGUCAUCCCCAUGAGAGGGCUUUAAACUUGAUGUUACCAGGUGUGGUUUUUGAAAAUGAUAAGUGUGAAGCUUGCAUUUUAGGCAAGCAUUGUAAGAAUGUGUUUCCAAGAACAUCUACUGUUUAUGAAAAUUGCUUUGAUUUGAUUCAUACUGAUGUGUGGACUGCACCUAGUUUCUCUAGAGAUAAUCAUAAGUACUUUGUCACAUUCAUUGAUGAAAAAUCUAAAUACACCUGGUUAACACUAAUUCCAUCAAAAGAUAGGGUGAUAGAUGCAUUCAAGAACUUUCAAGCUUAUGUGACUAACCAUUAUCAUGCUAAGAUUAAAAUUUUGAGAUCAGAUAAUGGAGGAGAAUACACAAGCUAUGCGUUCAAAAGCCAUCUAGAUCAUCAUGGAAUACUUCAUCAAACAAGCUGCCCCUACACACCACAACAGAAUGGUGUAGCUGAGAGGAAGAACAGGCACUUGAUGGAGGUGGCUCGGUCAUUAAUGUUCCAAGCUAAUGUACCUAAGAGAUUCUGGAGUGAUGCUGUAUCCACUGCUUGCUAUCUAAUCAACCGAAUACCUACAAGGGUAUUGAAGGAUCAAGCACCAUUUGAGGUACUGAACCAGCGCAAGCCAUCUUUAACAUAUAUGAGAGUGUUUGGAUGCUUGUGUUAUGUGUUGGUACCAGGAGAGUUGAGGAACAAGCUAGAAGCAAGAAGCAGAAAGGCAAUGUUCAUUGGCUACUCAACAACUCAAAAAGGAUAUAAGUGUUAUGAUCCAGAAGCUAGAAGGGUACUUGUAUCUAGAGAUGUGAAGUUCAUUGAAGAAAGAGGAUACUAUGAAGAGAAGAAUCAAGAAGACUUGAGGGAUCUUACAUCAGAUAAGGCUGGAGUCUUAAGAAUGAUUUUGGAAGGUCUUGGUAUCAAGAUGAAUCAGGAUCAGUCCACAAGAAGUAGACAACCAGAAGAGAGCUCAAAUAAACCAAGAAGAGCUGCUCAAACACCUCACCUUGAUCAUGAGGGGGGAAGUGAACCUGAAACUCAAGAAAAUGGCCAAGAAGGAGUCGGCUUGAGUGAAGAAGGAGAAGAGUUCAACUCAGGUUCUCAUCAUCAAGGUGAGCAAGACCAAGGAGAUGAAGAACAUCACAGUGAAGCACAAGAACCGCAUAUACAAGAUGAGCAGGUUCAAGUGCAAGAACAACCUGUAUUGAGGAGAAGCACAAGGCUUAGAAAGGAUCCUUCCUCUUGGGUAAACACGCGAGUGUACUACAGUGCCCAAGCUGUGGAGGAUCCUUCUCAAGUUGUGUGUUCCUUUGCUCAAUACCCUGAAGAACAUUGUGCGUUCAUAUUAGAAAGGAUCCUUCCUCUUGGAUAAACACGCGAGUGUACUACAAUGCCCAAGCUGUGGAGGAUCCUUCUCGAGUUGUGUGUUCCUUUGCUCAAUACCCUGAAGAACAUUGUGCGUUCAUGGUUAACUUGGAUGAGAACUAUAUUCCAAGAAGCUAUGAAGAAGCAAUCAUGGAUAAAGAAUGGAAGGAAUCAGUUGGAGCUGAGGCAGGAGCCAUGAUCAAGAAUGAUACAUGGUAUGAGAGUGAUUUACCAAAAGGGAAGAAGGCUGUGAGUAGUAAAUGGAUAUUCACAAUCAAGUAUAAGGCUGAUGGAAAGGUUGAGAGGAAGAAGUCAAGGCUAGUAGCAAGAGGUUUCACUCAAACUUAUGGAGAAGAUUACAUAGAAACCUUUGCACCAGUAGCUAAACUACAUACAAUAAGGAUUGUAUUAAGCUUGGCUGUGAAUCUUGGAUGGGGGUUAUGGCAAAUGGAUGUGAAGAAUGCAUUCUUACAAGGUGAACUUGAGGAUGAAGUAUAUAUGCAUCCACCUCCAGGCCUGGAACACUUAGUGAAGAAAGGGAAUGUGUUAAGAUUGAAGAAAGCUAUCUAUGGGCUGAAGCAAUCACCAAGGGCUUGGUACAACAAGCUGAGCACUACUCUGAAUGGCCGUGGCUUCAAGAAGUCUGAACUAGACCACACUCUCUUCACACUCACAACUCCCUCAGGUAUGAUUGCACUUCUUGUGUAUGUUGAUGAUAUCAUUAUCACAGGAAGUGAUAAGGAAGGUAUCAUAGCAACCAAGGAGUUCAUUAAAUCCAUGUUUGAGAUUAAAGAUUUGGGUGAAAUGAAAUACUUUCUUGGAAUUGAGAUAUGUAGAUCCAAGGAAGGUUUAUUCAUGUCCCAAAGGAAGUAUACACUUGAUCUUUUGAAAGGUGCAGGUGCUUAUGGAGGCAAGACUGCAAGGAUGCCUAUGGAGGAUGGCUACAAAGUCCCACGAGAGGGGGAGGUUGAAGACAGCAAACCUUAUCAGGAUCCUAAACUCUAUAGAAAACUAGUUGGCAAAUUGAUUUAUCUUACCAUAACUAGACCUGACAUUUGUUUUGCUGUGAAUCAGGUGAGUCAACACAUGCAAGUUCCUAAGGAGCAUCAUUGGCGCAUGGUGGAGAGGAUCUUGAUGUAUCUCAAUGGCUCACCUGAUCAAGGAGUAUGGAUGGGUUACAAUGGAAGCUCUGAAGUGGUGGGAUACUGUGAUGCAGAUUGGGCUGGUGAUAGAACAGACAGGAGAUCAACCACAGGCUAUUGCACAUUCAUUGGAGGCAACUUGGUGACAUGGAAGAGUAAGAAGCAGAAGGUGGUCUCUUGCUCAAGCGCAGAAGCUGAGUAUAGAGCUAUGCUGAAGCUUACCAACGAGUUGGUAUGGAUCAAAGGCAUCUUGAAGCAUUUGGAGAUUGAUCAAGCCACGCCAAUGACAAUGCAUUGUGAUAACCAAGCUGCCAUUCACAUUGCAUCCAACUCGGUGUUUCAUGAGAGAACCAAGCACAUUGAAGUUGAUUGCCACAAGGUGAGGCAAAUGAUCAUUCUAGGAGUCAUCUUGCCAUGUUACACGAGGAGUGAAGAUCAGUUGGCUGAUGUGUUCACCAAGGCUGCAAGACAGAAGACAAUGGAGUCCAUUCACAUCAGGUUGGGCCUCAUUGAUCUUGGGAAGAGAAGGAGCUGAUCCUCUUGGCUGUGAGGUCUUUACUCUUUUUCCCUCAUCAAGGUUUUGUCCCAAUGGGUUUUCCAUGGUGAGGUUUUUAAUGAGGAGGAUCUCAUAGCCAUCCAAGCUUAGGCUUUCACAAAGCUAAGCUUGAGGGGGAGUGUUGAGAUGAGUUGAGACAUGUGAAGUAAAGACACAAAGGAGUUGAGAACAUAAGGAGAGCAAAAGGGUUAAGAGGCUGAAUAAGGUGAAGGGGAUGGUACGGAUGGAGAAGCCGUACCAGGCCGUACAAGGUGAAAGCGGUCAAGUAACUAUCCAAGUAACUCUGAUGUACUGAGGAGAAGUUAC